rnacentral:rRNA from 1 species
GUCUCAGGCCGUAUCAGCCUGAAGGCGCCCGAUCUCGUCUGAUCUCGGAAGCUAAGCAGGGUCGGGGCCUGGUUAGGAUCUUGGAUGGGAGACCACCUGGGAAUCCCGGGUGCUCGAGGCU